UAAUUACUUUUAAUUAAAACAGAAAAUCAAUGUUGUUUUGAAAGCUAAAAACAAAAAUAAGCAAAUAAUAAAAAAUGUUAACUUAAUAUUUUUUAGCACAGAUUUAAGCUGAAAUUUAAAUUAGUACAGUACGGUACAUCACCUGAAUAUUUCUGAAAAGAUAAUUUAUUUCAGUAAAUCCUAAAAAUAUUUUUUUUAUGAUUAUAGUUUCCAGCCAAUGUGAAACCAAAAAUCAGUUUUGUAAGACCAAUUAAAAUUUUUCUAAUACAGAAAUAUUAUAGCCUAUGUGGGGAAGACUGUUGACUUGACAAAUGUCCAGAAAACAGUCAUCGACACUCUUAAGGAUGGUAAUCAACAAAAGGUCAACGAUACAGACGCUGGCUGUUGUGUCUAAGCAAGACGUGUACUUCCUUUAGCAACUCAAGGAGUGGAACCUGCUAUUGGAGCUGCUUGUCAUCUUCUAAACUCCUGUUUUUCAGUCUGUCCUGUGUUUCUGUUUCCUGUGUGGUUUGGUUCAUCCACAAAAGAAGGAUAGGUGAAGACUGUAGUGAACAAUUAGGUCUACAGAGAACAUCAUCAGUCCUGACCUUCCCUCCACCCAGGACUUGUGCAGGAUUAGAGUCAGGAAAAGGGGAGCUAACAUAUCUGCAGGCCCCACACAUCCUGGACACAAACUGUUUAGACUUUCACCUUUGGGUCAGUGCUACAGAGUGCUCCUUGUUUGUGUCACAAACUUGACAAAUAAAGCUGAUUCUUAUUUUCAUAUCAAUAGAAAGUUGACUGGAAAAAACAUGUUCAAAAGCAACAGGGAUAACUGAAGCCUUGCAUGGCCAGCGGCUGGAGUCAAGCAGUUACACACAGGCAUAUCCAGGACAUCGGCCACAACUGUCAGUCAUCUUUUAAGCCACUGCUGAACUAGAGAUGUCAGAAUCUUCUUACCUGGGCUAAGGUGAAAAAUGACUGUCUCUGCUGAUGAGCUUUGUGAGGAUGCUGAUUUAAUUUUUUUUGCAUAACUUGGCACCUGCCCACACUCCCAAAAGUACCUAUACCUGCUUUAAUCACUAUGGUAUCACUGUGCUGGGUUGACCACCGAACUGUCUUGGCCAAAACCUCAUAGAAAACCUGGAGUAUUGCCAACAGGAAGAUGAGAUACCAGAGCCAACAAUGCAGCUGAGCUGAAGGCCACUAUUAAAGCAACCUGUGAUUCCUUAAAAGAAAAUGUGUUUUUGUGUGACAUGUGGAAUCCAUGUUAAAAAUAUGUUUUCAUGCCUAAAAGGGAUUGAAAACAUCACUUAGUGAGUUUAUUACAAUUAAUUCAUAAAACAUCAUGUUGGUAGAUUAAUUUACAUUAAAUCCACCAAACUCAAAGAAGACUAAAGAAAGGUUCCCCGGAUUUGACUACAGAUCAUCAUUAAUGUAAGUUUAAAAUCUUGGUAAUUUAUUUUAGAUAAAUGUUCAACCUUUGUUCCUCAAAGUCUGCAUCUGAUUUAUUACUGUGAACAGAAACAUGGAGCCGCAAUCGCUGGAGUUUAGCUACUGAUGGAUGUUCUGAUAUUUCUCCCCUGAUCUGGUGGAUCAAUCAUCUUCAUAUUAAGGGGCAAGUGCCUUCAACAACCUCCGCCAGUGGCAAGAAGGAUUUGCCGAAAGACUUCAUCUGAUUAAGGGGUCAGUUCCUUCUGUCUUUGGAAACGGCAUCUACAGCAAAGCGCUUCUUUUCCUGUUUAGAAGAUAAGCAUAAGACAGAAGAGCUGCGCUGAAAGUUUCAAGAUGUCACCUCAUCACUGAAGAGGAAGUUGCAGAAGAGACAAGAGGAGUGUUUCGCUGAGCGAGCUGUAAAGGGCACGGAUUUAAGAGCUGAAAAGAUGGAUGAAAUAGAGGACGGACACAGGAAAGAGAAAGUGAAGGUUUGCUGAAAGUGAUGAUGUCCUCAAUGGCGCCAUCUUUCCCCUCCCUCACCAAAGGAGACCCCUGCCUCCUCUUCAGCUCUGCGAUCAGAUCCAUCUGAGGUGGUCUGAACAUGACUGAGACCUGGAAGAAGAAAUCAGGAUGAAC